UGAGCAUUUCACUGUUAAUAUUGGCAUGGACACUGAGAUAAAUUCCAUCAUGUCCUGGAACUACUUUUAGAAUUUGUUCCCUCGUUGGAUUGUGAGACGGAAUAAUUGUCAAGUCGCAUCUUGGGACAAAAAGAAGUUUAUGAUCGCGAGGAAGAGGUUCAGGAUCAACGACAUCGAGUCCAGCGGCGAAAAUUGUCCUAUUUUCAACAGCUCUCACUAAAGCAUCAGUGUCGACAACUUUUCCCCUACCAACAUUGACAAAAACGGCAGUUUUCUUCAUUUUUCCAAAGAAAUAAAGUCCUGGAGAUGAAAAACCUACUCGAUUAAUUUUAAUCGUCCUUCGUUGGCUCUUCUGGCUGCACAGAGUAACAACAUUACGGCAAUAUCAGCAACAGCGGAGGAUGAAACCUCGGAUGUGUUGCCAAC